GUGCUUGCUUUGGCAGCACAUAUACUAAAAUUGGAACGAUACAGAGAAGAUUAGCAUGACCCCUGCACAAGGAAGACACACAAAUUGGUGAAGUGUUCCAUAUUUUU